CUGCUCCAAUAUGUUUCUUCAAUAAACUAACAUGAAAAACCAGAUAUAGACGUGAGGUCUCAGGGCAAGAGAGGUCUGUCUAUAAGGAUGCAAUUUCAGAAUACUGGACUGAACACGUAGGCUACUCCUCCAUUUGGACUGAUUGGGCUAUUAACUCCUCUUGGAUCAUAUUUCGGUCUGCUUCAUCAUCUCCUGAACCGGUCACGUGCUGCUCCACUUCAUCAGGUAAUAUCAUUCGCCCCUCAAUUGCCAGAAUCCCUAAUUCCCCAUUUACUUUUCCCUCUCGCACCUCAAUCCCUAAUUCCCCUUUCUCAUUUCUCCUUCGCAUCUCAAUCCCUAAUUCACCAUUUUCCUCUUCGUUUCCACGCUCAUCUCUUCCAACUGUGACAAACUCAAAACCCUCGAGAAUGUGGACAAACCCCUUGUUUUGAAGGAACUUAGAAAAUU